rnacentral:lncRNA from 1 species
UGAGACAAAAGGUUACUCAGUAGGCUCACUGCAGAAGCAACGGAAGACUGGGGGUCCAGGACAAUGUGUGACAGGUUAAGUGAACCUCCCCAAGCUCAGUGUUACCCUAACACAGAGUUGACAAAUCCCAGCCAGAUCCCAGUCGCUUUUGAUCUCUACACUCCUGAGCUGGUGUUCUCUUGAAUUAAAGUGAAGUGCGGAGAGAGGCCAAACUGGGCGACAGGCGUAGCUCUGCAUGCAGGUCUCCCGGAAGGUCCCGAAGCUAAAGACAUGACCUACAGCCAUCUCCUAGCCCCCAGCCCUGGUGAUGUGGACACAGACAACUCACGUCCUCUUCCUGGCGACCUCGGCAGAUCUCCCAGCGUCCUACCUUAUCUGCCUUUAAGUGUUAGACCGGCUAGGCAUUCCUGGC